AACGAACGCUGGCGGCAUGCCUAACACAUGCAAGUCGAACGACACCUUCGGGUCUAGUGGCGCUCGGGUGCGUAACGCGUGGGAACCUGCCCUUAGGUUCGGAAUAACUCCCCGAAAGGGGUGCUAAUACCGGAUAAUUUCUUCGGAUCAAAGAUUUAUCGCCUUUGUAUGGGCCGGCGUUGGAUUAGCCAGUUGGUAGGGUAAAAGCCUAUCACGGCGAGGAUCGAUAGCUGGUCUGAGAGGAAGAUCAGCGACACUCGGACUGGGAAACGGCCCAGAAUCCUACGGGAGGCAGGAGAGGGGAAUAUUGGACAAUGGGCGAAAGGCUGAAUCAGCAAGGCCGGGUGAGUGAUGAAGGCCGUAGAGUUGUAAAGCUCGUUUAUACGGGAUGAUAAUGACAGUACCGGAAGAAUAAGCACCGGCUAACUCCGUG
rnacentral:rRNA from 1 species